rnacentral:rRNA from 1 species
CACGGGGGUUGCGAGCGUUGUCCGGAAUUACUAGGCGUAAAGGGCAGGCAGGCGGAUCCAUAAGUUUAUCGUUUAAGGCGUCGGCUUAACCGGCGUAGGGCGGUAGAUACUGUGGAUCUGGAAUGCGGUUGGGGAAGACAGAAUUCCUGGUGUAGCGGUGGAAUGCGUAGAGAUCAGGAGGAAUACCGGAGGCGAAGGCGGCCUGCUGGACAAAUACUGACGCUGAGGCACGAAAGCGUGGGGAGCAAACAGGAUUAGAUACCCGCGUAGUCCCUGAG